rnacentral:rRNA from 1 species
CCCAGACUCCUACGGGAGGCAGCAGUGGGGAAUAUUGCACAAUGGGGAAACCCUGAUGCAGCAACGCCGCGUGAGUGAAGAAGUAUUUCGGUAUGUAAAGCUCUAUCAGCAGGGAAGAAGAUGACGGUACCUGAUUAAGAAGCCCCGGCUAACUACGUGCCAGCAGCCGCGGUAAUACGUAGGGGGCAAGCGUUAUCCGGAUUUACUGGGUGUAAAGGGAGCGCAGACGGCAGUGCAAGUCUGGAGUGAAAGCCCGGGGCCCAACCCCGGGACUGCUCUGGAAACUGCGGCGCUGGAGUACGGGAGGGGCAGGCGGAAUUCCUGGUGUAGCGGUGAAAUGCGUAGAUAUCAGGAGGAACACCGGCGGCGAAGGCGGCCUGCUGGACCGUGACUGACGUUGAGGCUCGAGAGCGUGGGGAGCAAACAGGAUUAGAUACCCCAGUACA